AUAUUACUAGUAUAAAAAUUAUGCUACUUUUCCAAAGUAGAGAUCUAUAUUAAUAGGUAAUGUA
rnacentral:tRNA from 4 species